rnacentral:rRNA from 1 species
UGUUUCGGCUAGGGGGCCAUCCCGGCUUACCAACCCGAUGCAAACUGCGAAUACCGGAGAAUGUUAUCACGGGAGACACACGGCGGGUGCUAACGUCCGUCGUGAAGAGGGAAACAACCCAGACCGCCAGCUAAGGUCCCAAAGUCAUGGUUAAGUGGGAAACGAUGUGGGAAGGCCCAGACAGCCAGGAUGUUGGCUUAGAAGCAGCCAUCAUUUAAAGAAAGCGUAAUAGCUCACUGGUCGAGUCGGCCUGCGCGGAAGAUGUAACGGGGCUAAACCAUGCACCGAAGCUGCGGCAGCGACACUCAGGUGUUGUUGGGUAGGGGAGCGUUCUGUAAGCCUGUGAAGGUGUGCUGUGAGGCAUGCUGGAGGUAUCAGAAGUGCGAAUGCUGACAUAAGUAACGAUAAAGCGGGUGAAAAGCCCGCUCGCCGGAAGACCAAGGGUUCCUGUCCAACGUUAAUCGGGGCAGGGUGAGUCGACCCCUAAGGCGAGGCCGAAAGGCGUAGUCGAUGGGAAACGGGUUAAUAUUCCCGUACUUGGUGUUACUGCGAAGGGGGGACGGAGAAGGCUAUGUUGGCCGGGCGACGGUUGUCCCGGUUUAAGCGUGUAGGUGUGUGUUCCAGGUAAAUCCGGUUCACUUUAACACUGAGGCGUGAUGACGAGGCACUACGGUGCUGAAGCAACAAAUGCCCUGCUUCCAGGAAAAGCCUCUAAGCAUCAGGUAACAUCAAAUCGUACCCCAAACCGACACAGGUGGUCAGGUAGAGAAUACCAAGGCGCUUGAGAGAACUCGGGUGAAGGAACUAGGCAAAAUGGUGCCGUAACUUCGGGAGAAGGCACGCUGACAUGUAGGUGAAGUGAUUUACUCA